GACGGACGCUGGCGGCGUGCUUAACACAUGCAAGUCGAACGGAAAGGCCCUGCUUUUGUGGGGUGCUCGAGUGGCGAACGGGUGAGUAACACGUGAGUAACCUGCCCUUGACUUUGGGAUAACUUCAGGAAACUGGGGCUAAUACCGGAUAGGAGCUCCUGCUGCAUGGUGGGGGUUGGAAAGUUUCGGCGGUUGGGGAUGGACUCGCGGCUUAUCAGCUUGUUGGUGUGGUAGUGUCUUACCAAGGCUUUGACGGGUAGCCGGCCUGGGAGGGUGACAGGCUACAUUGGGACUGAGAUACGGCACAGACUCCAACGGGACGCAGCAGUGGGGAAUAUUGCACAAUGGGCUGAAGCCUGAUGCAGCAACGCCGCGUGCGGUAUGACGGCCUUCGGUUUGUAAACCGCUUUCGCCUGUGACGAAGCGUGAGUGACGGUAAUGGGUAAAGAAGCACCGGCUAACUACGUG
rnacentral:rRNA from 1 species